rnacentral:rRNA from 1 species
CGGGUGAGUAACGCGUGGGUAACCUGCCUCAUACAGGGGGAUAACAGUUGGAAACGACUGCUAAUACCGCAUAAGCGCACAGGAUUGCAUGAUCCAGUGUGAAAAACUCCGGCGGUAUGAGAUGGACCCGCGUCUGAUUAGCCAGUUGGCGGGGUAACGGCCCACCAAAGCAACGAUCAGUAGCCGACCUGAGAGGGUGACCGGCCACAUUGGGACUGAGACACGGCCCAA